GAAAGUUUUCUUCCCCUCCCCAUCCCCCAGUUGCCCCAUAGAUUUAGCUCCUGAUUCCAUUGGCCCUGGGGCAUCGAAACCUAACGAAUGUCUCAGAAGCUCAUUCAAUGGAGACCACCACUUGCUCUGGAUGCUCAGCGGGUGACAGUGAAAAAAGCCCAGGCGUCCACGUCCCCUGGUCUCAGGUGGGGCCCGGCGGUGACCAGAUCCACGCGGGGAGACGAGUAAGGCAGACACUCUCCCGAUGACGUCCGGAACUUACUGAGUUGUUAUCUCCAUGUCACAAACAGCGAUGGCCUCCCCAGGACCACCCCCAAAGACCCGAAGACGCUUCCUGAGAGAGCCGUGUUAAGUUUCCAUAACAUCUGCUACCAAGUAAAAGUGAAGAGUGGAUUUCUACUUAAUCGAAAAACAGUUGAGAAAGAAAUACUGAUAAACGUCAAUGAGAUCAUG